GAUGAAGAACGCAGCGAAAUGCGAUACUUGGUGUGAAUUGCAGAAUCCCGUGAACCAUCGAGUCUUUGAACGCAAGUUGCGCCCGAAGCCAUUAGGCCGAAGGCACGCCUGCCUGGGCGUCACACGUCGUUGCCCCCCCAUCUACUCCUUCGGGAUUGCGGGGGGCGGAUGAUGGCCUCCCGUGCGCCUCGUCGCGCGGUUGGCAUAAAUACCAAGUCCUCGGCGACGCACGCCACGACAAUCGGUGGUUGCGAAACCUCGGUUGCCCGUCGUGUGCGGUCGUCGCGCAUCGAGGGCUCGAAAAAAUUGCCGGGCUCCGGCUCGGCUUUCAACGCGACCCCAGGUCAGGCGGGGUUACCCGCUGAAUUUAAGCAUAUCAAUAAGCGGAGGA
rnacentral:misc_RNA from 1 species